AGGUAUGGAGAAAGCUUCUAUGGGUUGGCACAGAAUUGAUUCACCUUGCAAUAAGCCUCUCAGACAUGUCAAGGACUUGCAAUGAAGAGAGGUUCAGUCUACUUCACAUGUGGAGCUGCAUAUAUUGAGAUCUACCUUCAAGGGAUCUUAACUGCACUUUCCCAAUGGCGUUAUUCACCACGACGUCCGGUCUCAAAGCUAGUCAACUUUCUUUGUUUAGUCCAAGAGGAUGCAGGAUAUGAUUCAGACGACGAAUAGGCAAAAGACACUGCCUACAAUUGUCUCAACACAGUUGACAAAUUCCUCUCAUCUUCUUCACUGGGCAAAGGGACCAUUGCUGAACUCUUAUUUCGGUUGCCCAAACUGCCUUGUUUGGAGGGUUGAAGUCAGAGAGUUGCAUAUCAGUUGCCGAGAGGAUCCUAAAUCAGUUUGCAACAAGGUUUGAUGCUGAAAUGCUUCCAGUUUUUGGGAAGGCAUUAAUUGACUUGAGUGAGAGAAGCGAAGAUUCAGAUUAUGGUGGCAUCGCGCCUCUUGUGAAUGGGUGUGCAACAGUAUUCCAAUACCUUCAGCAGCAUCAUUUUGAACACAUAAAAGAAACCACCGGGAUCACUCUUAAAGUCUUGAAGGAUGCGUUUUAUCAUUUGGAACGGGGAAGUGAUCGAGUGUCGACUGUUGUUUGCCAGAGUUAUGAAGAAGGCUACCACCAUAUGUCAUCUGAGCAUGAAGUUGGAAGGCGGAGUAUGUGAAAAGCUUCGUGCUCUGCUUGGUUUUUUUGUCUUAGAGAUCACGGUGCGCAUACCUCCAUUUUCUAAGUCAAGUUUGACUUUCAUUUUUAUCUAUCCCAUAUCUACAGAAGUGCCAGUCUGGACAAAAUAACUCAGCUUUUGAUUGAAGAGCAAAUACGAAGCAAAUCAAAUACGAAGUCCAGACGGUGCGCAUAAACAAUUGAAAUGGCUAUUUCCAUCCUCCAAUGUUUCUUUUCUUUUGUCUUGUUUUUGGGUGCACUCAGAGGAUGGAAAUAGCCAUUUCAAUUGUUUAUCCGAUGUCGAACUGGGUGCUGUUGUGAUCUUGAAGUUUUUGGAAAGUGACGGUGAACAGAAAUGAGUUCUUCCUCUGCUGGCAGGCUCUAUUGAGGUCUUGAAGGCUUUGGAAAGUGAUGAAGUAUAAGUCUGGUCUGCAAAUGUAUAGUUUGCAUUUUAGAAUAAUGUCAGGUGAACAUACUAUACCUACUACAUUGGAUCCAGUAUAGUAGUACAUGAAACAGAGAAUGCAAGUACUUUAGUGGUGAACUUGGUGGCAGAAGAAGAGUCCUUACAAACUCGAAACACAUAAAGGGUCGAAGGAAAACACCCUCUGUUUCCUAGCUCUUCCCUGACUAUGUUACACCUCCACUCUUAUGUACUUGAUUGCACCAUAUCAUAUUGGAUUCAGUAUUGACAACUCUUUUACUUUUUCCAAGGAGCACAUUGCCAUGGGAGCUCCUUAAGUCUUUAUAAGUACUAUAACUAAAGUCCGCAGCAUUUGGUGGAAGUUACAGAUAUAUCUCCCAAGACUCAAGUCCUUUUAUACAAUUAACUGUUUCUUAGCUCUUCUUUACUAUGGCGGUUCGCCCUGAUGCAGUGAUUGUUCCCUA